UACAGAGGGAGCAAGCGUUAUUCGGAAUUAUUGGGCGUAAAGAGCGCGUAGGCGGUUCGAUAAGUCUGGUGAGAAAUCCCUGGACUUAAUUCAGGAAGUGCAUUGGAUACUGUCGGACUAGAGUACAGGAGAGGAGAGCGGAAUUCCUGGUGUAGAGGUGAAAUUCGUAGAUAUCAGGAGGAACAACAGAGGCGAAGGCGGCUCUCUGUACUGUCACUGACGCUGAGGCGCUAAAGCGUGGGGAGCAAACAGG
rnacentral:rRNA from 1 species